UGCGUAGGCGGUUGAUUAAGUUGGAUGUGAAAUACCCGGGCUUAACUUGGGGGUGCAUUCAAAACUGGUUAACUAGAGUACAGGGGAGGGAAGCGGAAUUCCUAGUGUAGCGGUGAAAUGCGUAGAUAUUAGGAGGAACACCGGUGGCGAAGGCGGCUUUCUGGACUGACACUGACGCUGAAGCACGAAAGCGUGGGGAGCAAACA
rnacentral:rRNA from 1 species